AGAGAAGAGAGUCAGAGCAGAGCAGUGGAAAUAGGAUAAGGCAGGGAGAGUCACAAGUUGUUUGAUCGGUUGGUUGGUUCGGAUAUAUUCCUCUGUAUAGAAUUAAACUUCAUGAGUUCCUGCCUCUAUCCCACGUUCAUUUUAUAGAAAUCUCCUUCAUUUAUACUUUCCUGCAAUAUUUAACACUUAUUGAGCAACUUGUUUGGUGUUUAUUAAUCUUAUUAACUUCCCGCAACAACUCCAUGAAGAAAGUAGCGUACCCAAACUCCCUGUUAUGCCGGGACCCAAUCCAGUCCCUUCCUUCUGACCCCAAAGCCUGGAGUCCUGCUGGGGCCCUCUGUGUGUGAAGCCCUGAUCCGGGUGCUGGAUGGACUGUGGUGGACACAGUAGGUGUUGGCCCUGACCUCCUGAAACUCACUUUUUAAUUGAGGGAAUUUGGCAAAAAUGACUGUCAAACAAACGAAUAUCUAUGUGUGAAUUAUAAGAUGGGCAGGAAGAGGCUAAGUGAGAGAGAAUUACAGGGCCUUGAUUUGGAUGGGGCACCUGCUCUUAGGAAGCUCACAGUUCGGUGGUAUGGGGAGGACAACUCAGUCAAAGAAAUUAUAUCCUCUGAUAAGAAGUAUAACUGCUCCCCAAAAUGUCCAUACCCUAAUCCCCUGAAACCUGUGAAUCUGUUACGUUACAUUGCUAAAGGGACUUUACAGAUGGAGCUAGGUUAAGGAUAUUGACAUGGGGAGGUUAUCCUGGAUUAUUUGGGUGGGCCCAGUGGAAUGACAGGAGUCCUUACAAGUGAAAGGAGGAGGGCUUAGAGAGAUUGGAAGAUGCCAGGCUACUUGCCUUGCAAACAGAGGAAGGGACUUGAGCCAAGGAAUGCAGGUGCCUCUAGAAGCCAGAAAGGGUGAGAAAUUGCAUCCUCCCCUGGAGCCUCCAGAAGGAACCAGCCCUGCCUGCCAAUGCCUUGAUUUUGGCCCAGUGACACCCAUUUUGGGGUUGUGACCUUCAGAACUUUAAUCCAUGUGUGUUGUUGGAAGCCAGGAAAUGCAUGGUAAUUUGUCACAGCAGCCACAGGAAACUAAUACAGACUCACACAGCAGAGAGUGACAGAGGCUGCCUGGGAGGGUCCUCCUUCAUCGCAGCCCUUCCCUGCUGCUCCCCUGUGCAGAAGAUGCUCCAUGGAACUGUCAGUGAUUUUGCUUGCCAGAUUCUCUCUUGAUUACUCAAAUUAAUAUUCACACACAUACCAAGUCUAAGCACUGCUACUAUCAAGGUCACUGUGACUACCACUUAAGUGGCUGAGUCUAAAUGUCCACCUUGCAGUCUUCUCCUUCCUGGACUUUUCAGCAGCAGAGGACCCAGCUGCUCACCUUCCCUACACAGAAGGCCUUCUUGACUCAACUAUAGGACAUCAUGCUUUUCUGGGUCCACCUCACCUUCUUGGCAACCUCUUUGCCAAUUGCUUCAGGUCUCCCUGACCUUAAAUAUCAGAGCAGCCCCGGGUUCUUUUCUUCUUUACCUUUGCCUUGUGAUCUUAUCCACUGUGUUGGCUUCAUGCCAUCAAUAGGCUAAUGACUCCCAAAUCUGUACCCCCAGCCCACUCCUUUCUCCUGACUAUAGUCUUUGAUCCAGUGGUAUAAUUCAAACCCCCGCGUUCUUGUCCAAAGACACACAAAACUCAACCUAUUCAAUCUGAACUCCUCCUUUUCUUUCCCAAAUCCAUUUCUUCUGCAAUCUUCUCAGCCUCAAUGAUUGGCACCUCCAUUCUUCCCACUGCUCAGGGCAAAAAUCUGGAAGUAAUUCUUGCUCCCUUUCUGUGGCUCACAUUCUAAUUCCAAUUCAUUAACAAAUCCCAGUAGGUUCCACUGCAGAAUUCAUCUGGGAGACAGUCAUGUCUACCACUGCUGCUAUCUUGGUUCCAGCCAACACCACCUUCUGCCUGGGAUGUUCACCAGCCUCCUGUCUACCUCCUAUGCUCUCUCCUUCCCCUGCCACACACACGGUCUCUUCUGCACACAGUGGCCAGAGGAAUCCCAUGAAAAUGAAAGUUGAUCAUGUUCUUCUGGUCUACAGCUAUACCACCCUGAACGGACCCAAUCUCGUCUGAUCAUGUCCUUCUGCUCAAAACUCUCCAAAUGCUCACAGUAGCCUGUGCAGUCAGACACAAUUCACAUAGGCUCAACUCCUCCAAAGUCAUUUCCUGCUCUCAGUCCUGCCUCCCUCUGUCUAAUCACACAGAUGUCCCAUGGCUCCUCUCCUUUCCUCUUCCUGUGCCUGGGCCUUGCUUUGCUCCUCCCUCUGCCUGGAAGGCUCUUCAAUCACACAAUAAAUGUCAGAUCUGAGCCUCCUUCUGUUCCUACUGAAACUAUUCCCAAAUACGGAGGAAGACUGACUCUUCCCUAACUCAUUCUAUGAGGCCAGUAUCAUCCUGAUACCAAAAUCUGGCGAAGACACAACAAAAGAAGAAAACUUCGGGCCAAUAUCCUUGAUGAACAUUGAUGCAAAAAUCCUCAACAAAAUACUUGCAAACUGAAUCCAUCAGCACAUCAGAAGGUUAAUCCAAUAUGAUCAAGUCGGCUUCAUGUUGGUUCAACAUACACAAAUCAAUAAAUGUGAUUCACCACACAAACAGAACUAAAGACAAAAACACAUGAUUAUCUCAAUAGAUGCAGAAAAGGCUUUUGAUAAAAUUCAGCAUCGCUUCGUGUUAAAAACUCUCAGUAAACUAGGUAUUAAAGGAACAUAUCUCAAAAUAAUAAGAGCUAUCUAUGGUGAACGCAGAGCCAACAUCAUAUUGAAUAUGGAAAAGCUGAAAGCAUUCCCCUUGAAAGCCAGCACAAGACAAGGAUGCCCUCUCUCACCACUCCUGUUUAACGUAGUAUUGGAAAUUCUGGCCAGAGCAAUCAGGCAAGAGAAAGAAAUAAAGAGCAUCCAAAUAGGAAGAGAGGAAUUUAAACUAUCCCUCUUUGCAGAUGCAUGAUUCUAUAUCUAGAAAACCUCGUAGUCCCAGCCCAAAAGCUUCUUAAAUGAUAAAUAACUUCAGCAAAGUUUCAGGAUACAAAAUCAAUAUAGAAAAAUCACUAGUAUUUCUAUACAUCAGGAACUACCAAGCCAAGAGUCACAUUAGGAACACAAUCCCAUUCACAAUUGCCACAAAAAGAAUAAAAUUUUUAGAAAUACAGCUAACCAGGGAGGUGAAAGAACUCUACAAUGAGAAUUACAAAACACUGCUCAAAUAAAUCAAAGGUGACACAAAUGGAAAAACAUACUAUGCUCAUGGAUAAAAAGAAUCAAAAUCAUUAAAAUGGCCAUACUGCCCAAAGAAAUUUAUACAUUCAAUGCUAUUUCUAUCAAACUACCAAUGAGAUUCUUCACAGAACUAGAAAAAACAAUUUUAAAAUUCAUAUGAAACCAAAAAAGUGCCCAAAUAGCCAAGGCAAUCCUAAGCAAAAAGAAAACCUGGAGGCAUCACGUUACCCAAAUUUAAACUAUAUUACAAGUCUACAGUAACCAAAACAGCAUGGUAGUGGUACAAAAACAGACACAUAGACCAAUGGAACGGAAUAGAGAGCCCAGAAAUAAAGCCACACACCUACAACAAUUUGAUCUUCAACAAAGCUGACAAAAAAAAGCAAUGGGGAAAGGACUCCUGAUUCAAUAAAUGGUGCUGGGAUAACUGUCUAGCCACAUGCAGAAGAUUGAGUGGGACUGCUUCCUUAUACCACAUAUAAAAAUCAACUCGAGAUGGGUUAAAAACUUAAAUGUAAAACUCAAAACUAUAAAAACUCUGGAAGACAAUGUAGGCAAUAUCGUUCUGGAUAAACAGGCAAAGAUUUCCUGACAAAGAUGCCAAAGCAAUCACAACAAAAGCAAAAAUUGACAAAUGGGAUCUAAUUAAACUUAAGAGCUCCUGCACAGCAAAAUAAACCAUCAACAGAGUAAACAACCGGAAUGGGAGAAAAUACUUGCAAACUAUGCAUUAGGCAAAGGUCUAAUAUCCAGCAUCUAUAAGGAACUUAAACAAAUUUACAAGAGAAAAACAACCCCAUUAAAAAGUGAGCAAAGGACAUGAACAGACAUUUUUGGCCAACAGACAUAUGAGAAAAAGCUCAUUAUCGCUGAUCACUAGAGAAACGCAAAUCAGAACCACAAUGAAAUAUCAUCUCACACCAGUCAGAAUGGCUACUUUUAAAAAGUAAAAAAAAUCACAGAGGCUGGCAAGGCUGCAGAGAAAAGGGAACACUUAUACUGUCGGCAGGAGUGUAAAUUAGUUCAACCACUGUGGAAAGCAGUAUGGUAAUUUCCUGAAGAGCUAAAAGCAGAACUAUCAUUUGACAUAGCAAUCACAUUACUGGUUUUAUACUCAGAGUAAUAAAAAUCAUUCUACCAUAAAGACACAUACAAGCAAAUGUUCAUUGUAGUACUAUUCACAAUAGCAAAUAUAUGAAAUUAACCUAAAUGCCCAUCCAUGACAGAAUGGAUAAAGAAAAUAUGGUACAAAUACACCAUGGAAUACUGUGCAGCCAUAAAAAAGAAUGAGAUUAUGUCUUUUGUGGGAACAUGGAUGGAGCUGGAGGCCAUUAUCCUUAGCAAACGAACACAGGAACAGAAAACCAAAUACUGCAUGUUCUCACUUAUCAGUGAGAGCUAAAUGAUGAGAACUCAUGAACACAAAGAAGAGAACAACAGACACUGGGGCCCACUUGAAGGUGGAGGGUGGGAGGAGAGAGAGGAACAGAAAAAAAUAACUGUGGGGUACUAGGCUUAGGACCUGGGUGACAAAAUAAUCUGUACCACAAACCCCUCUGACCAGAGUUUAUGUAUGUAACAAACCUGCACAUGUACCCCCAAACCUAAAAUAAGAGUUUUUUUUAAAACUAUCACAAUUACUGAGAUUUUUGGCACCUUCUUAAAUUUUGCAUGCUAGGCCAGGACCUCACUCAUCUCACACUAAUUCCAGCCCUGCUAGAGAGGUAGAUGUUUAAGAGACGAGAAUGUGCAGGGCUGCAGUUAUGAAGUUUGGGCUUUUUCUCUAGGUUAGGGCUUGUCAAACUAGAGCCCUUGGGACAAAUUCUACCCAC
rnacentral:lncRNA from 1 species